UGCUAUUUGAAAAGCGAGGUUUGCUAUUUGAAAAGGGAGUUUUGCUAUUUGAAAAGGGAGUUUUGCUAUUUGAAAAGGGAGUUUUGCUAUUUGAAAAGGGUGUUUUGCUAUUUGAAAAGAGUGUUUUGCAAUUUGAAAAGAGUGUUUUGCUAUUUGAAAAGGGAGGUUUGCUAUUUGAAAAGGGAGUUUUGCUAUUUGAAAAGGGAGGUUUGCUAUUUGAAAAGGGAGUUUUGCUAUUUGAAAAGCGAGGUUUGCUAUUUGAAAAGGGAGUUUUGCUAUUUGAAAAGGGUGUUUUGCUAUUUGAAAAGGGUGUUUUGCUAUUUGAAAAGGGUGUUUUGCUAUUUGAAAAGGGUGUUUUGCAAUUUGAAAAGGGAGUUUUGCUAUUUGAAAAGGGAGUUUUGCUAUUUGAAAAGGG